rnacentral:rRNA from 1 species
AUUGAACGCUGGCGGCAGGCCUAACACAUGCAAGUCGAGCGAGAGGCGGACGGGUGAGUAAUGUCUGGGAAACUGCCUGAUGGAGGGGGAUAACUACUGGAAACGGUAGCUAAUACCGCAUACCAUCAGAUGUGCCCAGGUGGGAUUAGCUAGUAGGUGGGGUAACGGCUCACCUAGGCGACGCUCCCUAGCUGGUCUGAGAGGAUGACCAGCCACACGGGAACUGAGACAGGGUCCAGACGCCUACGGGAGUCAGCAGUGGGGAAGAUGGGACAAUGGGCGCAAGCUUGAUGCUGCCAUGCCGCUUGUGUGAAGAAGUCCUUCGGGUUGUAAAGCACUUUCAGCGGUGAGGCGUUACCCGCAGAAGAAGCACCGGCUAAAUCCGUGCCAGCAGCCGCGGUAAUAC